GAAAUGCGAUAAAUAAUGUGAAUUGCAGAAUUCAGUGAAUCAUCGAGUCUUUGAACGCACAUUGCGCCCCCUGGCAUUCCGGGGGGCACGCCUGUUCGAGCGUCAUUCCACCCCAUCAAGCCCGGCUUGGUCUUGGGCGCCGCCUCUGGGCGCGCCCCAAAAACGUCGGCGGAGCCGGGGCACCGAGCGUGACGCACUCACGGACUCGGGGCGCCGGCCCGGCCUCACCACCCUAGAGUUGACCUCGGAUCAGGCGGGGAUACCCGCUGAACUUAA
rnacentral:misc_RNA from 1 species